rnacentral:lncRNA from 1 species
CGCACUGCACUGUGCUUGCGGGCAUUCUCGCCGAGUUCUUUUCUCGUUCAUCUGCUCGGCGAAGGUUGGAAUCGCACGCUCAAUUGCAUAGAUGCCUUCUCCUUUCCCAGAUGAAAAGGAAUCCACUGUCAAGUCAUCAGUCAUUUCGGAAACUCCAAAGUCACGAUUCAUUCGUGUAUUCUAGUAGCGGAUCUUCCUAACUCCCAUGUUUCUCAGGGGCGACCCUCGCUGCAUUGCUUCGGUCACCGCUUUCUCUCGUCCCGCCCGUGGUUUUCGUUUCGUCUCUUUGCUCUUGUUCAAAUCGUGGGUAAAGAAACACCAAAAUGGCCGGGCUUUUUCUUUCUUAUCUGAUGAGCCCAAACGAAUUGAAGCUUCAGCCUCACGGGUCAGUUUAGCUAAUGGGCUAUUGGACCCAAUUAGAAUUCAACGGCCAAAUGGGCUUCGGGACAGAAGGCCGGACUGGGUUUUUUUUUUUAAUUUCUUUUCAUUUAUUUAUUUAUUAUUGCUACUAUUCUUUUUAUAUUUUGUAUUUUUUUUGUUUAUUUUUACCUUUUUAUAUUUUUGCAAAAAGGGCACUUGGAAGAUCGACAAAAUUCAGGUGUCAACAAGUCUUUCUUUUGCCAAAAACAAAAAAAAAAAAUUUGAAUACGAGGAUGUGAAAUGUGAUCGUGUAGUAGUAUCCCAAAACUGACAAUGGGUGAUUAGCUUUAUACUUUUGAUGUUUGAGACUUUAUCUAUAUUCAAAGUAUUUUCACUAAAAGCCAAAAUUGUUCGGUGAUAAAAAUUUAAGAAACCCAAUGCAAAGCAACUUUGUCGUGAUUUUUGUUUGAUAAAGAAUUUUGGAAGACAUGACGAUAUUUUUUGUCAUAUUGUUAAUUUGGAUAUUCAUUUUCAAAAUUCCCAUAGUGAAGGGUUCACAGCAUAAUAUGUCUCUUCUAGAAGUCUUGAAGAAAUUCCCAUAGUGAAGUACUCUUCACAAAUACAUGACAUUAAAGUAUCCAUAAAAAAUAAUCCAUCAUCGACAAAAAAUUAAUAGCACAUAUUUUAUUAAUAAAUGAAUAUUACCAUAUCAACAAAAUAAAAAUAAUUUCUUCCUGGUGUUUCCAAAAAAAAAAGUUAUCCGAGAAAAAUAUGCGCUCAUAAUUUCAACAUCAAGAAAAAAGAGAUAAAUAAAUAUUAUAUUGGCAUAUAAUCAACUUAGAAACUUGUAGGAAUGCUACUUAAAACUUUAAGUUGUUAAUUUUCAAAACAGGUGUUGCUUCACCAAGAAAUAUCCAAGGAGUAUGUGUCACUGUUAUCAAUGUGUUUGCCAGUAUUCUUAUUCCGAAAAUAAAUUAAGGGAAUCCUAGAUAUACAUAAUACUAAGGAUUUUCCAUAAUACAAAUUGAAUUUUGCAUAUUUCAACAAAAUGCUCAACUAUUCUCUUUGUGAUGCAUUUUCCUGGAUGAUCAACUCUUGCCAAAAAAAAAAAAAGGAUGGACAUCAAAUGGUUACUAAAAAUAUAGGGAGGAUUUCUGUAAAAGACAAAAUCGAAAUAUACGGAAUCACAAUAUGAUAGACAUUAUCUCUAGCUCUCUAUAAAUGGAGAGGAGCAAAUAGAGGAGAGAAAAGAAACCGUUUUGAAGGUUCAACACAAGUAGCUUGCUUGACUUUUCUACACCAAGUAUAUGGCACAAGAAGGGAAUUUACUUUCUCUUUCAAUUGGACCAUCAAUGGUUGUGCAUAGCUAAAAGAAGUAUAGACAUUUGUUAAUACGUUAAUAAAAAUAACAAACUGCAAAAGAACUUUUGUCAAUGUAAUAGUGAAGAGCAUAAAGCAACACGACUAUCACCCAAGAAAAAUCCCUCAUAAUGUGUCAAAUCGUCUAUUCGAUGGCAAAGUGAUGGGAGAGAUGGUAGACCCAAUAACUGAAAUAAUAUAAGUUAAGGUGACAUAUGGAUGCAUUGGCCCGGUAACUGAAGUCACAAAUCAACAGGAAUGCGUUCUGAAUUUGAAGUGAAACAUGGAUAAAUGCACCUUGCCAAGAGGAUCCUCCGAAAUGCAUUGGCAAUAGAAGGAUCGAUGCCAACCAUAUCAAACUCCAUGUCUUCAUGGCUGAUUCUGGUGACUUGGACUCUAAAUUUGUUGCGGAAAUCAUCAAAACUUUCUUACUUUAUGCGGUCAAUUUUUGUUGCUCAACUUUUCUCUAACAAGUUUAUUGACUGUGUUGACCGAUAGCAUUGUGAUUUCGCAACAGCUGUUCGUGAAAAUCGUUGGGUUGCUCGAGAGAUUAAAGGCAAAUGCACUUUUGUCAACAUCGGAUAGGAGAUGUCCCCAAAAAAGAGAUUCCACCACGAACAUGUCGCCAAAAAUUUGGUUGCUCUGGGGCAAAUGUGAAAGCUUUUCUUUUGUGGCAACUGCUUUAGCAUUGCUUUAGCUGAAGAUGAAGUGUGAAUGGAAUCCUUUCUUCUUUACGUUUGCCUUUUAAUUCAAUCUUUCCAGAACUGAUUAAUUUUGCAAUUUUUUUUUUCAUUUUUAUGAAUUUUCUUUUUUCAUUUUUUCAUUUUUUUUUCUUUUUCUUUUCUUUUAGUGCUGGCAUGUGGCCAGUCUGGGCAAUGGCCAGCAAACUGCCACAAACUAGGGCCGGUGAGGCAAAAGAGGGGUGGUCGGUGAGGGAGGGCUAGUUGCCGGCCAUUGUUGGAGACCAUCUAGAGGCCAAGGGAAAAAGAAAAAAGGAAAAAAAAUAAAAAAUCAUAAUAUAUAUAUAUAUCAACGAUUUCUAACCAAAAUUAAUUAAAAUAACUAAAUCGACAAAUCGUCAAAAGAUUUAUGACUCAAUUAGCAUAUCGUUUCAACCAAAAAAAAAUUGGUAAAUUUUUAAAAGAUUUAGAACUAAGUUGAUAUAAUUGAACAUCUAUGAUUGAAUUGAUCAGCUAUAAUAGGAUUUGUCUCGUAACUAUGCUUAUUGCAAAAAACCAGAAAAAUAUCAUAUAAGAAAAUUGUGAAUGCUUUAUGUGGUAUCGGUUAUUCCAUGUUAGUUCAGCACAUAUAUUCUUUCAACAUUGUUGCUGCGAAUUGAAACUCUACAUUCAUUAGCUGAUUCUUAUCAAAAGGUAUCGGGUGAGAUUAAUUUUUCCAUAAAUUUGCUCAGCAGCAAUUAUACAUGUAUAGAGCUAUCUAUUUGACUAGACUCUAUAUGCUAAGUGCAUUUAUAUAAUAUUCUCACUAGAAGUUAAAAGCAUUGUCUGGAUUUAAAAACCCAAAACUGAAAACCAAAGUUCGUGAUUUUCAUUCAGUCUGCGCCGAAACUUCUAGAGAUAUUUUUUCCCCCUUUAAAACCUGAAAAACAAAAAAGCGUUUUAUAUGUCGACUGUUUAUUGAAAAGCAUUGUAAAAUGCACAUUGACCUUUGCAUGUUUUUUAAAAUGUCAGGGACCCAAAAAAAAAAAAAAAAAGAACUAAAAAUGAAAGACAAAAAUUCAUUUCAGACAUAUUUUAAAUCCGUGUACUUCCUUGUAAAACAAUUUUACUGGGGCAAUGCACUUUCAAUCUGUCAUUUCAACACUUACCAUCUACUCCUCAAAACCGAUCGACAUAAAAUAAAGCUCACCAGCUGAAGGCAAAAAGCCCGGAACCGGAAGACGAUUCAUCGACAGCAACGGAAGUUACAAGAAAAUUAAAGAGGAAGAUGACAGGGAAGUUCAGGAAUUAGGGAUCGAAAUUGGUGGCGAGCAAGGUUUCUCACUCUCCUCUAAUUACAGGAAAAAAAUAUGCAUACCUCAAUACAAUCGUAACCAUUUAUUACGAAAAAAAUCUUACGUGAUAGUAUUGAUUAUGCAUAAGUUAGUGGAUGUAACCAUAAAAUAAUCCAAAAAGCACAAAUACUAAAAAUUUAGAGAAUUAAAAUUGUACUCAAUGCUUAAAAAUAAAAAUAUAGAACUAUGAAAUGAAUCUUGUUAAUAAGUACUUUCGAGCCAACUAUUAUAUAUGAGAGAAAGACAAUGACCGAGUUGAAAAUGGGGACAAAGUUGGUGGUGAUGAUCGCUACUGCUACGGUGACGGAGCAAUGAAGGUGGUGAUGGAGGAGUAGAGGUCGGACUAUGCGGUGAUAAAUGGUGCCACGGUGGUAAAGUCGCAACUUAACAACCCAAAAAUGUAACUAGCAAUCAAUGAAAUCUGGCACUGAAAUUUGCUGAUUGAAUUAUUGCUUAGAACGCAAGUAAUUUCAAAAAUUCGUUUUGGGCAAAUUGUAAGUCGGAGCUGAGUCUCGUAAAAUCUUACAACUUUAUAAUACUUUAAAAUAAUAAUCUCCCGUAACUUUGAAAAUUCAUUUCGGACAAAUCGUAAGUUAGAACUGAAUCUUGUAAAAUUCUACAACUUUACAAUACUCUGAACUGAUAAUCCCCGUGACUUCUCAACUUAACAACUCCUAAAUUGGACCCACCAGUUCAUAAUUUUCAAGGCUCCGAAAUUGGAACUCGAUUUCGAAAAUUUAUCCUAUUAGAUGAAUGGAGGGCGUGAACGUUCACCAAGCAAAGACUUGGUGAGCCCCCCGUGGCGUGUAGCACAAAAGCCCUCUUCCCCCUUUUCCCUUUCUUGUCCUUUCUCCUUUUUUUUUUUUUUUUUCUUUUUCUUCUUCCUUUUCUUUGAUUUCCCUUUCUCCCUUUCAUGCGUGCCCCCCCUUUUUUUUAUCUGAGGUGGGACGUCCACUUUCUCCUUUUGUUUUUUCUUUCUUUGGUCGGUACUUUCUCCUUUUGUUGACUAGUUAAACUUUCUUUUGUUUUUUGUUAAUUUUACCCACACUUCGACCCGUUCAAUAUUAUAAUAUCUACCGUAACUGCGAAAAAAUAAAUCCUAUCUUCCCUGCCCUAUUUGAGAUAAUUUUGCUUAUUUAUCGAGAGAUAGAACUGAUCAACACCACACACACAUAUGCGCAAUGCACUGUGCUUGCGGGCAUUCUCGUCGAGUUCCUUUCUCGUUCAUCUGCUCGGCGAAGGUUGGAAUCGCACGCUCAAUUGCAUAGAUGCCUUCUCCUUUCCCAGAUGAAAAGGAAUCCACCGUCAAGUCAUCAGUCAUUUCGGAAACUCCAAAGUCACGAUUCAUUCGUGUAUUCUAGGAGCGGAUCUUCGGGACUCCCAUGUUUCUCAGGGGCGACCCUCGCUGCAUUGCUUCGGUCACCGCUUUCUCUCGUCCCGCCCGUGGUUUUCGUUUCGUCUCUUUGCUCUUGUUCAAAUCGUGGGUAAAGAAACACCAAAAUGGCCGGGCUUUUUCUUUCUUAUCUGAUGAGCCGAAACGAAUUGAAGCUUCAGCUCAGCCUCACGGGUCAGUUUAGCUAAUGGGCUAUUGGACCCAUCGGAAUUAAACGGCAAAUGGGCUUGGGGAAUGAAGGCCGGACUGGGGUUUUUAAAUUUCUUUUGAUUUAUUUAUUAUUAUUGCUACUAUAUUUUUUAUAUUUUGUAUCUUUUUGUUUAUAUUUACCAAUUUUAUAUUUUUGCAAAAAGGGCACUUGAAAGGUCAACAAAAUUCAUGUGUCAACAAGUCUUUCUUUUGCCAAAAAAAAAAAAAAUGAAUACCAAGAUAUGAACUGUGAUCAUAUAGUAGUAUCCCAAAAUUGACGGUGGAUGAUUAGGUUAUACUUUUGAUGUUGGAGACUUUAUCUAUAUUCGAACCAUUUUUACUAAAAGCCAAAAUUAUUCAGUGAUAAAAAUUUAAGAAACCCAGUGCAAAGCGACUUUGUCGUAACUUUUGUUUGAUAAAGAAUUAUGGAUGACACGAUGAUAUUUUUUGUUAUAUUGUUAAUUUGGAUAUUCAUUUUCAAAAUUCCUUUGUAAUUCUAGAACUUUUAAUGUAUUCAUCCAUGAAUAUAACUGUAACAGAAAGAGAAGCAGAAAAGGCAGCCCUCGUUCAUCGUCCACCAUCGCCUGCCGUCACUUGCCAUCGAAGAGGGUCAUCUGUCCGUUGUCCGAGUCGUCGCCAUCAUACGACCCUUACGCGAGUCACCCUCGAGGCUUUGCCGUUGAAGUUGCAAAGUUAGAGGCGGAAGCAUUGCGUACAUUGAGGUCUGCAGAGGCAGACCUUGUCGAGGAUGUGCGGCCUCCGCCGGGCCGCCACUGUCGAGUCACUCGUCGACGGGAUCUAAAAUUUUCGUCCGGCCAGGUCAAGCCAAGGCUGCAGGACUUUGGAUUUUGCCCAAGCAGAUUUUAGCUUACAGCGACUCAAUAAUAUUUGCCCCCACACAUCAUAACUUUUACGGACUUUAAAGGGUCAAAUCUACUUAUAAAGCGUUCAAACACACACGGUGAGAAUCACAUAGG